GCGACAGACUAGAACUAUAACCUUGUAAUAUACAAUGGCGAAGGAAAAAUAAAUUUCGAUCGCGACAUUGGUUACAUCUCCAUGCCUCGUACAUGGAUGGAGAAAUUAGGGUUCUUGGUUAGUUUUGACCUUUAGCGCCAAUUAUUCUGAGUGGUGGAACGGUCGAUCGGUCCAGCGAUGGCGGACGAUCUAAGCUUCGAUCUGGAGUUCUCGCCGGCGGCGGCGAGGGUGUGCGUCGUCGGGGCCGGGGUGUCGGGGCUGUGCGCUUGCCGGCAUUUGCUCAAGCGAGGAAUUCGGCCCACUGUGCUGGAGGGCUCGUCCCACAUUGGCGGGGUGUGGCGGAGCAACAGCGUUGCCAUCACGCGGCUCCAGACGCCCAGCGUCGCGUACCAGUUCUCGGAUUUCCCGUGGCCGCCGGGCACGCCCGCGUUCGCGACAGGGGGCCAGGUGCUCGACUACCUCCACGGCUAUGCCGCCAAAUUUGGGGUUUUGGAGUGUGUCCGGUUCGAUUCUAGGGUUGUGGGUAUCCGGCGCGAUGGCGAUCGCGGGCCAUGGCAGCUUCUUGUGGUGCGCGGCGAUGGCGACGGCGCGGCGCGCGAGACGCUGGAAUUUGAUUUCGUGAUAUUGUGCAUUGGUCGUUUUGGAGAUGUUCCAAGGCUCCCAUCUUUCUCGCCUGGCCAAGGUGCCGACGUCUUCAAGGGAAGAGUGCUGCAUUCGACUGAAUUCUCGGCCCUCGACUAUGAGAAUGCCUCCAAACUUCUCCGCGGAAAUAGUGUCGUCGUCGUCGGCUUCUCAAAGUCCGCUUUGGACGUUGCCGCGGAAGCGGUUGAAGCGAAUCAAGGGAAACCAUGCACGCUCUUGUUUCGCAGAGCGCAUUGGAUUGUCCAGCAUUGGGACGUUUUUGGAGUGAACAUUGCCUAUUUGUUCGGAACAAGGCUAUCUGAGAUGUACUACCACAAGCCAGGCCAAGGUUUCUUUUCCAGCCUGUUAACCUCGCUCCUCUGGCCAUUGAAGUGGGCUACAUCUAAAGUGGUGGAAGUUUAUCUCCGGUGGACGCUUUCGUUAUCAAAGUAUGGGAUACUGCCCAGCAUACCAUUUUAUAAACAACUUUCUUCGUGCAAGAUAUCGGUAAUACCUGACAACUUCAUGGACUACGUGAAAGAGGGCCGUCUCAAGCUUUGCAAGUCGCCAAAGUGGCACUUUACAGCGACCGGAGUCAUGCUCGAUAACAAGCGCGAGUUGAAAGCAGAUGUUGUUCUGCUUUGCACAGGCUUUGAGGGCGAAGUCAAGCUCAAGGCUAUUCUUCCCGAAAGAUAUGCAGAGGUUUUGCAAGGACCGGACGGUGUAGUUCCAUUGUACAGAGGGAUGAUACACCCACGAAUUCCUGGGCUGGCAAUACUGGGUUACCAGGAGGAUGUCUCAAAUGUGAGAGCUUCAGAGAUGGGAGCUCGCUGGCUGUCGUACUAUCUAACUGGAAAGGUGAAACUUCCCGACUCUCAAACAAUGAGCAAGAGUGCCAACGAGUGGGUGCGCUACAUGAAGUGGUCGACCCCGUACUUCGACAGGGCGUGCAUAGCGUUGGCCAGGACGUGGCACAGCGACGAGCUGUGCAGGGACAUUGGCUGGAAUCCGAGAAGAAAGAAGAACUGGCUGCAAGAACUUCUCUCGCCGUACUCCAACAUGGACUACAUUGAUUGAAGAACAUGCCCGAGGUUUGCAAAGGAGGAGAGGAUAAGAAAGAAUUCCCUGUCCCACUCAUUAGGGGCACAGGAAAUGUGAAGCUUUGUUUUCGAAUAAGGCCGGCUUCUAAAGUAAGUACCGUCUUUGUCUAUUCACAUGCAGGGGAGACCAUUCACUCAACCAACACUGUUUUUGAUACGUCCACCCGUGUGCCACCACCAGACGGUACAGGGAAAGCAACGUUUUACUGCUAGAUCGAUCUACUGCGAGAAAGAAAACAGAAAGCAAAGUAAAAGGACGCAGUUAUAAGGACGAACAUGAUGAGCUUCCUUGUGUGGCCAGAGACUUGGUCUCGGAAGACAUGUCUGCCGCAAGCUUCUUCGCAACACUGUCACUUAUCGCCAGCCUUCUCUCCUCGCGGUCAAGAGCUUCUCAGCUCGUUCCCGCCCUUUACGUAUUCGGAGACUCGUCGGUGGAUGCUGGUAACAAUGACUACAUUGGAACGGUUGUGAGGGCCGACUUCCCUCCUUAUGGGAGAGACUUCGACUCCCACAAGGCGACCGGACGAUUUUCCAAUGGUCGCGUUUCGAGUGACUACCUGGCUAGCCUGCUUGGUUUGCCACUUCCUCCGCCGUACUUGGAUCCCUC